rnacentral:piRNA from 1 species
UAAUUUGACAAUGGCUAAACAUCUAGG